AGCCACUUUAAACAGCCCCACUGCAGCACAGUCAGAGAUCAAUGGAACCCAUCCUGCAUUUGAAUGAAUUCCCUCAUUACAGCCUGUUCCUGCCACAUGCCCCUGUGGAUUUGGAAGGGUGGCAUGAUGGAGGAUGGAAAGUAGACCCCAUAUAGAGCACCAGUAAUGUGCAGUACCUCAGAGCCUGAUGCUGCACCAAGAUGGCCUCUCUUUGACUGAGCUUGGCAAGGGAGAAGAGCAAAUGCAGAACUGCUUGUCUGUCUGUGAUCUCAAGAGAUAUAGAUCUCUUGGAGGACUGCCAGAGUGAAACAGGAUUUGACAUGAAUGAAAAUUAGGCUUGCUGGGCUGCCACAUAUGAAGAAAAUAGACAACUAUGAAGAAAAUGGACCACUUGGGAACUCCUGCCAUUUUACACCAGCUGGGAGUGUCUGAAUUUGAACCCACAAUUCAAUUCUGUUCCCUACCUUUCCCCACUGGUAUUCCUGUGACCACCAUGGGAGCACAAAGGAAGAUACAAAGAAGACAGUUCUCCAUUCUUGUUCCAGGCUGGGCUGGCUUAGCCCACCCACCAUGUCUCAAGAAACAAAGGAGAGUUCUAUGUGCAGGGAGGUAUUGAUGGCAGCUGCCCACUUUCUCCCUUCCAAGCCCAGCAAAGUGGUUAAUACAUUGAAGUGUGUACCUUUUUCAUUUCAGUAGGACUGUUUGGCCUUAAGUAGACCAUGAGAUAUCAUGCUAGACUGAGACCUGCUAAAGAAACACAACAUUUUAACUGAUUUCCUUUAUGUGGACUUCUCUUAAGCAGACACUUGAAUUUUGCUACUGCAUAGCCCUUUAACUAGUUAGUCUGUUAAAAACAC